AGUGUGUAGGUAUUUAGGCUCUGUUUCCCUGUGUGUGGAGGCUGGUAGAGUGUGUGUGUGUGUGUGAGAUCCUUGUGGCAGAGGCAGUAGAGAUCUACUAGAAACAGUGGAGAGGGAGGAGAUGAUAUGCAGCAAAAGGCCGAGCCGGAUGGUUGCUGCUCCAUGUGGAACGUGUUCUAUCAGGUGUAACAUCUACCAAUGGUUGUACAUGACAGAGACCUCCUCCACCUCUUUGCUGUCUUACUAGUCAAUCCUCCUGAUCAGAGCCUUUCCUAAAUAGUGAAAGGAUCAUGCCAGCCCACAUCAAACACCUGAUCAAGAGCUUGUGAACCUCACUGCUGCGGACACCUGUGUGAUAUUCCACUCUGACUGGAACCCUCAAAAUGACCUACAGGCUCAACCUCGGUGUCAUCGUUUUGGCCAGUCUAAGGCGGUGAAGGUGUACCAUCUGAUCACUAGAUACUAUGAGAAGGAAAUGCUGGAUAAAGCUAGUCUGAAGCUCGGGCUGGACCGUGCCGUCCUGCAGAGCAUGAGUGGGAACAAAGAAGGCAACAACAACGGGCCGGUCCAGCAGUUCUCCAAGAAGGAGAUCGAGGACCUACUGAGGAAAGGAGCCUACGACGCCAUCAUGAACGAGAACGACGAAGGCAAUCGCUUCUGCUAGGAGGACAUCGACCAGAUCCUGCAGCGAAGAGCCACCAUCAACACCAUCACCAGUUUGCUUCAAGCAGUGGCUGUACGAGGAAGACGUGGAGGACCAAGAAAUGCUGGCCAGAUUGGCAAAGACCGGAAGAUACAUAACAGAGAAGAUAAUGGAUAUUAACAAGAGAAAUAAAAAAAAUGUUUAUAAUUUCUUUGUUGCUGUUUAAAUUUAGAAUUAUAUUUGUUAUUUUUUAAAUCAAAUCUAUUUUAGAUGAUAUAUUUAUUUAGAUGUCCAUGCUGGUCAACACCAUGCUGUUUUUUUCAGCAGGAAUGCAACCACACACUUGUAAAAAAAAUAACACACUUUAUAUUAUAAAGUCAGGCAACACUAUAACCAGGCUUCGUGUGAUUCAGUUUAUUUGUACCUUACUUUGACCAUCCGUUCACUGUCAUUGAUCAUUGUGGAGAGGAUCAAGCAGACGUUUUGUUUUGUAUUAGCAGCUAUCGGAUAGAAUCAAUACUGUACAUGGGCUGCACAGGUUGUGCUGUCCGACUAUCACAAGUAGAAUCAUAAUGAAAAGGUGAAAUGUGCCUGUAGAAAACGGCUUAUGCCACAAUAGGAUAGUAACAAGUAGUCAAGAUAGUCAGUUUAGCUUCGGUUGCUGUUGCAUAACUGCGGUCAACUCAGCCGUCUCUCGCGUUCGCUUGGUCAAAUCAGCAGCUAUUCAUUUUUGAGUGCGCAAUGAAUAGCGCCUUUACGGUAAUCGCUGUACAAGAGUAAAAUAAUGCAUUUUUUUUUCUGCUUUAUUUGCAAUACAAGUCAUUUGUACCAUAAGUUCUUAAUAAAACUGACACUGUUUGACUCAGUCCUAGUUUGACUGCUACAAUAAAAUGAAGUUUUUACUGUGUACUUUUUGGGUAAUACUCUCUCAAAGCCCCCUCCUGAGAACAAAAUCAUGCCACUUCUGCUUCCGC